UGUGACAGUUCCUAUAAUGCGUGGCAAGGGUUUAUAUUCCAGCUGUGGUGGGCAUUGUUGUGCCUGCUUGCAUGCGGGUUGCGUAUCCAUCCGGAAGUGUAUUGUGGACAUUCUAUUUAGGGCUUCGUAUAGGCAUUUUCAGAGACCUCUUGAACCCAUCUUCAAUCGACUCUUAAGCUCUUUUUGGUCCCAACCUCCAUGGCGUAGGGGACUAUUUUUAUGGUUUUGCUGCAACCUUCACAUUCCGCUAUUCUUUCAUUCAGUACGGAUAGACACCUAAGCGAGACAUCACAUUGGAGCUAGGCAUACUUAUGUGCAUACUCCAUCUCACGGGACAGGGCUUAUACCAGGCAUCUACCGGAAAAGUUUCAAUCUCGGAUGCUUCCUUAUAUACCAUUACGCAGGGGUGACUGUUGAAUAGGUCUGCCAAAGCAGCUGUUAUAUGAGUCUGUCAUAUAAGAGAGAUGUGAAUUCUACCUGAUUUGAGAGCUUAUACAGUACAAAGGUGUAUGCCAAGUUCAUUUUAGGUACUUCUAAACUUCGAAUUGUUUAUUGUUGGUGGCUUUGGUUUACGACUUAAUGUCAUUGUUAUGGCAUACACUCUGCAGUCGAAGUCAGAUGUAAAUUUUGCAUGAUUUGAGAGCUUGUACAUUACAAACUCAUAUACUUGUUUCCUUCACAAUUGUAGUGUUUUUCUUAA